CCGUAAAAACUUUGUUUACAAAAAUAGAUGGGAGGUAGUGGCGAUGUCAGUUUAACUCGUUAAUUUCUAGCGGAAACUGGUUGCUACGAACGACAAAUGAUGGGAUCGUCCACAAACGGUAUAACCAGAGGACAAUUACGGCCACAUUUCAGUGGUAGAAGCCCACCUUUUAUCAUCUGUGGUUUGUUUAUCGCAUUGAUUAUCGUCAGUUACUGUUAUUGGAAUCUGUCGUUUCGUUUUAAUAUCCUUCAGAAGAAUUUAUUAAACGUGGAAGAGAACUUACGAAGCAGCUCUAGUAAAACUGAUCUAUUAAUUAAACAAAACGAAGGACUUAACAGUAAACUUCAAAUGAAUCUCGAUCUCAUACAACAAAAUAAAAAUACAUUAUCUAAGAAAGAAGAGGAAGUCAAUCAACUUUCUAAUCAGUUGAGACAAAAAGAAGAAGCAAUUAAUAGAGCAAAUUCCCAGAUUGAAACUCUUAAAAACGAUGCCGAUAAAUGCAAAGAAACUUCUGAUAAACUUAAGAAUGAAUUAAAUGCAGCAAAAGCUAAGAUUAAAGAAUUAGAAACAGAAAAUACAGGUUAUAAAGAGAAAAUUACUGCCAUGCAAGAACGCAUGAACUCUUCAAAUAAAUUGAAUAAGGAAACAUCAAAGAACAGUGAUCGAUCCUGACGUUGGCCAACCGCAGACUGCCUGAAGAACUACUUGUGGAAGAAUUGCCAGCGUUCUGUUUCCGGCCAUCCGGGACACCCACCGUCCCCACCAUGGCACCUUCCCUUUCUGGGGCAUUCUUCCCUGCAGGGAUUCCAUCC
rnacentral:misc_RNA from 1 species